GGCCUGCUCCCUUCCACCAUGGCCGCCCAAGGCUACGGCUAUUACCGCGCUGUGAUCUUCUCAGCCAUGUUUGGAGGCUACAGCCUGUACUACUUCAACCGCAAGACCUUCUCCUUUGUCAUGCCAUCGUUGGUGGAGGAGAUCCCUCUGGACAAGGACGACUUGGGUGAGCCACGGAAGGGCAGGGUGGUGGGCCCUGGGACCCAGGACCCGUAGGACAAGUUGGUGUUGGUGGCAGUGUUGUGCAUAAAGGCACGUAGCGUGUGUGGAGCGUCUGCACAGUGGAGGGUAGGGAGAGUCGGCACACGCCGACCGGACUCUGAAAACCAUACGCCUGGCUGUGGGCUAAGCACCAGGAGUGUCGUCGAUACGCGUCUGAGGAGGGCUGCCUAUGUGAUGUGUCUUUGUGUGCCUGUGACCCACACGUGCCCCCACAGGUCUGGCUUAUUCCGAGUAUGUUUAGGGGGCUUCUGGGCAUGGUUUCCACACCUCGUGGGUGCGUGCUAAGACCACAGGGUGCACGCUGGCCACUGACGUCGUAAGCAAUGGGAACUGGAGACUUGGCACAGAAACUUCACGUGGCCCCGCACGCUACAUUUCAGGGGGAAUAACGUCCUUGAUUCCAAUUCUAAGCUCUUUGCCCCAUGCCCAGAGGUGGGGGUGACGGAACUGCUAGAAGCCCUGGGUCGGCAUCCAGGGUGAGGAGGAAAUGUAAUCAGGCAUGGGUAGAUCCCAGGGUGGGGCUGCCCUGUUCUCCCCUUCUUGCCCCCUGACAGCUGCAGCUGGAACUCUCCAGGUUGAAAAGUCAAGGGUCAGCCUGGGGCUAGCGCCGGCGGUGAGGAGGGGUAGCGGCGCCCCUGAAAGGGUGCUGGGAUUCCAACACAGGCUGCUUCUGGUCCCCUUGGAAGGAACCUAUCUCACCCUGCCAGGCACCUCUACACACGUGACCCCAUGCCUUCCUCCAUCCCUCCUGUGCCCUUGCCCUGGCCCCUAACCCCCUAGGUGUGCUGCUUCCUGCUCCCCUCCCCUGCAGGGCUCAUCACCAGCAGCCAGUCGGCAGCCUACGCCAUCAGCAAGUUUGUGAGCGGGGUGCUGUCUGACCAGAUGAGUGCCCGCUGGCUCUUCUCUUCUGGGCUGCUUCUGGUCGGCCUGGUCAACGUAGUCUUUUCCUGGAGCUCCAUGGUACCUGUCUUUGCUGCUCUCUGGUUCCUCAAUGGCCUGGCACAGGGGCUGGGCUGGCCUCCCUGUGGGAAGAUCCUGCGGAAGGUGAGUGUCUGCUCCCAAGAAGCCAGUUGAGACUGGCCGAGGGGAUACCUACAGGGCAUGUGGGAGUACCAGCACUCCCAUCCCCGAGCGGGUUCCUCGGGAGUUCCAGUCCAACUCCUGUUGCUCGUCGAGAUAUUUUAGGAGCUAAACAUGGUGGGAUCAGGUGGCAGAUGAGGGAAUUGGCCCUGCCAAGUAGAGGCGCCCUCUUCCUCGUCCCUGUAAUGUGAGCUUCUAGGUCUGCCCCUGCCCCACCUGACCCUCACCUUCAACAUGUUUAAUGUGGGCACCUACUCUGAACCCUCUGCCCCACAGUGGUUUGAGCCAUCUCAGUUUGGCACCUGGUGGGCCAUUCUGUCAACCAGCAUGAACCUGGCUGGAGGGCUGGGCCCUAUCCUGGCAACCAUCCUCGCCCAGAGCUAUAGCUGGCGCAGCACGCUGGCCCUGUCUGGGGCGCUCUGUGUAGUUGUCUCCUUCCUCUGUCUCCUGCUCAUCCACAAUGAACCCGCUGACGUUGGGCUCCGGAACCUGGACCCCGCCCCCUCCAAGGACAAGAAGGGUGAGCACGCACCCAGGCCGAAUCACUGGGGCACCUUCAUCCACCAUUCAUUUGGCAGACUUUCAUUGAGGUCUGGCUGUAUGCCUGGCCCUGUGCUAGCCGAUGGAGGCAGGGGGAGGGAUGGUGGUGGCAAGUUGGUGGGGAGUAAAUAAAACUCCGUUCCAAGAGACACUUAAGUACCAGACAAGCGGCAGAGCCAACAAAUGCUGUGUGACUCAUGUUAUAUCCCGGUCCUUCCUCACAGCAGAGCCAGACUUCCCUGUCCUGUCCUGGACAGCAUCCUAAGCUUAAGUGGCUUGGGUGCCUUCCUCCAUGUGCCCUGGUCCCGGUUUCAUUUGCUGAGGCCUGUAGUGGAGGGGACAGGGUAGAACAGUGGGUGAAGGGGUGCCUUCCUGCUGGUCCCUGGCUGUGUGGAUGGACUGUGGCCCUGUGGCUGGUUAAUGAGUGGUGGGGGCUCAGUCGGGGCAGAGCAGCAAGAGUGGAGCCUCAGGCCUGGCCUCCUCCUGCCCCCAGGCUCCUCGAAGGAGGAGAGUACUCUACAGGAGCUGCUGCUGUCCCCCUACCUGUGGGUACUCUCCACGGGCUACCUCGUGGUAUUUGGAGUAAAGACCUGCUGUACUGACUGGGGCCAGUUCUUCCUCAUCCAGGAGAAAGGACAAUCCGUCCUCGUGGGUAAGAUGAGUUUGGAACAGGGGUGGGCCUAGGGAGCAGGAGUCAAUGAAAGGGAUGGGAAGUUCAGGCCCAGCUUCUCUUUAUCCCUUCCUUCUUUCCCUGAGGCCAGGCACUACUCAGACAGCUGUGGUCGGUCACCCUUGGGGACCCUGUACCUCUCUGGGUUUAAGCCAGUCUGGGACAACCCCAGUGUGUAACACCCACCCUUCCUUUCCCUCUUCCCACCACAACUCCCUACUCCAGGUAGCUCCUACAUGAGUGCCCUGGAGGUUGGGGGCCUUGUAGGCAGCAUCGCAGCUGGCUACCUGUCAGACCGGGCCAUGGCAAAGGUGAGUGGGCAGACGGGACAGGAAGGAGGAGGGUCCCUUUAAACCUUCCCAGCGUGACUGGGACAGGCACCAGAGAGGCGGGAGCCCUGGGGCACGGGCAGGCUGGCAUAAGCCAGUUUAGGUUGGGGGAGGUUGGAAUGAUUCCAGGCUGCCGUUAUUCGCUGGGGGUGUGAAGGUUAAGACUCCUGGGGAAAAGGCUUUAAAUGAUGUCAAGGAGAGCUGGAAUGUCUCUCAGCCUGGCAGUGGGCUUCUCCACAGCCCCAGGAAAACUGGGGUUGAGGAGGAAGCAAGUGCAGCUUGCCAGCACAUGUCCCGACCCUGCCCCGUGGUGGAGGAAGGGAUGUUGUGGAGUUUGGCCUCUGAACACAACGAGCAGGUCCCGGGGCCUCCCAGAGCUGCCCGGGGCCAAGAGCUGUGGUGGGAUUGCCAAAGACCUGUCAGCAGAGGCCCUGCUGUAUCAGAGUCCAGGGGUGGAGGUUCUCUGCUGCUUUUAGGCCCUGACAUUGCUGGGACUGUAUCCACAGGCAGGCCUAUCCAUCUACGGGAACCCUCGCCAUGGCCUGUUGCUGCUCAUGAUGGCUGGCAUGACCGUGUCCAUGUACCUCUUCCGGGUCACUGUGACCAGUGACUCCUCCAAGGUAAAUAAGGAGGGCCUGGCCCACAGCAGGCACAAGGAUGAGAAAGCAAGGGCCGCCGACUCUCAGGCUUCCUCUCCCUGGCUCCACCCUGGCCCAGGCCUUUCUUUGCCUCUCAGAUCUCCCUUUCCAGGUCUGUCUUACCUCGUGUCCUCUUUGUACUUCGGUGCCCCUCCUGGACUCGGGACUUGGUUUCCUUUUCUUUCCUGUGCUCCUCUAGGAUGUUGCUUUCUGGACUCCAGCUCUUCACCCUCUCGCUGAGCUCACAGGCUUUACGGAGCACGAGGUGCCUUAUCUCUGGUUUUCUUCCUGGUUUGUCUUACCCUUGUCCUACUGUCUUCCUCGCCCCUAGCCAAUCCAGCUAGCAUGAGUUCUGAGAAGAGAUAGCAUCUAACUUGGAGGGACGGCUUCUGUACCUCCUUCACCUACCCACACAGGCCCUCGGGUUGGCUCGGUGUGGCACUCACUCCUCUAGCUCUGCCCUGUCCAUUGUAUCAGAAAGUGGGGUGAGGGAGGUCAUUUCCUGUGUCCUUAACUACAGUUAUUUGUUCUGUCCUCUGGCAGAGGUAGAUAGGUAGGUAGGCUCUCUCAAACUCUGAAUGCCACUCUGUGCUGCCCUUGCAGCUCUGGAUCCUGGUGUUGGGAGCCCUGUUCGGUUUCUCCUCCUACGGUCCCAUUGCCUUGUUCGGAGUUAUAGCCAAUGAGAGUGCUCCUCCCAACUUGUGCGGCACCUCCCAUGCCAUUGUGGGACUCAUGGCCAACGGUAAGCGGAGUCUCCACCUCACCCCUAC
rnacentral:lncRNA from 1 species